rnacentral:rRNA from 1 species
AUACGUAGGGUGCAAGCGUUAAUCGGAAUUACUGGGCGUAAAGCGUGCGCAGGCGGUUUUGUAAGACAGAGGUGAAAUCCCCGGGCUCAACCUGGGAACUGCCUUUGUGACUGCAAGGCUAGAGUACGGCGGAGGGGGAUGGAAUUCCGCGCGUAGCAGUGAAAUGCGUAGAUAUGCGGAGGAACACCGAUGGCGAAGGCAAUCCCCUGGGCCUGCACUGACGCUCAUGAACGAAAGCGUGGGGAGCAAACAGGAUUAGAUACCCUGGUAGUCCACGCCCUAAACGAUGUCAACUGGUUGUUGGGGAUUUAUUUUCUCAGUAACGAAGCUAACGCGUGAAGUUGACCGCCUGGGGAGUACGGCCGCAAGGUUAAAACUCAAAUGAAUUGACGGGG